CGGCAGCACGGGGGCAACCCUGGUGGCGAGUGGCGAACGGGUGAGUAAUACAUCGGAACGUGUCCUGUAGUGGGGGAUAGCCCGGCGAAAGCCGGAUUAAUACCGCAUACGCUCUACGGAGGAAAGGGGGGGAUCUUAGGACCUCUCGCUACAGGGGCGGCCGAUGGCAGAUUAGCUAGUUGGUGGGGUAAAGGCCUACCAAGGCGACGAUCUGUAGCUGGUCUGGGAGGACGACCAGCCACACUGGGACUGAGACACGGCCCAGACUCCUACGGGAGGCAGCAGUGGGGAAUUUUGGACAAUGGGCGCAAGCCUGAUCCAGCAAUGCCGCGUGUGUGAAGAAGGCCUUCGGGUUGUAAAGCACUUUUGUCCGGAAAGAAAACUUCCUGGUUAAUACCCGGGGAGGAUGACGGUACCGGAAGAAUAAGCACCGGCUAACUACGUGCCAGCAGCCGCGGUAAUACGUAGGGUGCAAGCGUUAAUCGGAAUUACUGGGCGUAAAGCGUGCGCAGGCGGUCCGCUAAGACAGAUGUGAAAUCCCCGGGCUUAACCUGGGAACUGCAUUUGUGACUGGCGGGCUAGAGUAUGGCAGAGGGGGGUAGAAUUCCACGUGUAGCAGUGAAAUGCGUAGAGAUGUGGAGGAAUACCGAUGGCGAAGGCAGCCCCCUGGGCCAAUACUGACGCUCAUGCACGAAAGCGUG
rnacentral:rRNA from 1 species